UGGGGAAUCUUGCCCAAUGGGCGCAAGCCUGAGGCAGCGACGCCGCGUGGGGGAAGAAGGCCUUCGGGUUGUAAACCCCUUUCAGGAGGGACGAAGCCACUCGGGUUAAUAGCCCAGAGGGUGACGGUACCUCCAGAAGAAGCCCCGGCUAACUACGUGCCAGCAGCCGCGGUAAUACGUAGGGGGCAAGCGUUGUCCGGAUUUAUUGGGCGUAAAGAGCGUGUAGGCGGCCAGACAGGUCCGUUGUGAAAACUCGAGGCUCAACCUCGAGACGUCGACGGAAACCGUCUGGCUAGAGUCCGGAAGAGGAGUGUGGAAUUCCUGGUGUAGCGGUGAAAUGCGCAGAUAUCAGGAAGAACACCUAUGGCGAAGGCAGCACUCUGGGACGGUACUGACGCUGAGACGCGAAAGCGUGGGGAGCGAACAG
rnacentral:rRNA from 1 species